UACGUAGGGGGCAAGCGUUGUCCGGAAUCAUUGGGCGUAAAGAGCGUGUAGGCGGCUUGGCAAGUCGGGUGUGAAAACUCCAGGCUCAACCUGGAGAUGCCAUCUGAUACUGCCAUGACUUGAGUCUGGUAGGGGAGCACGGAAUUCCUGGUGUAGCGGUGAAAUGCGCAGAUAUCAGGAGGAACACCGGUGGCGAAGGCGGUGCUCUGGGCCAGUAACUGA
rnacentral:rRNA from 1 species